rnacentral:ncRNA from 1 species
AGCUGGUAACACCGAGCCGUGAGGUAACCGCAGGAGCCAGCGGCCGAAGGUGGGAUUAGUGAUUGGGGUGAAGUCGUAACAAGGUAGCCGUAGGAGAACCUGCGGCUGGAUCACCUCCUUU